GACGAACGCUGGCGGCGUGCUUAACACAUGCAAGUCGAACGGAAAGGCCCCCAUCUUGGUGGGGGUGCUCGAGUGGCGAACGGGUGAGUAACACGUGGGUGAUCUGCCCUGUACUUCGGGAUAAGCUUGGGAAACUGGGUCUAAUACCGGAUAGGACCAUGGUUUAGUGUCUCAUGGUGGAAAGAUUAUUGUUUUGGUGCAGGAUGAGCUCGCGGCCUAUCAGGUUGUUGGUGGGGUAAUGGCCUACCAAGGCGUCGACGGGUAGCCGGCCUGAGAGGGUGGACGGCGGAAUUGGGACAGGGAUACGGCCCAGACGCCAACGAGAGGCAGCAGUGGGGAAGAUUGGACAAUGGGCGCAAGCCUGAAGCAGCGAGGCAGCGUGGAGGAUGACGGCCUUCGGGUUGUAAGCUCCUUUCGUUAGGGACGAAGCCACGCUUUUGGGGUGUGGUGACGGUACCUUUGUUAAGAAGCACCGGCUAACUACGUG
rnacentral:rRNA from 1 species